rnacentral:tRNA from 1 species
GCCAGGGUAGCUCAGUCGGUAGAGCGUGGGACUCAUAAGCCCGAGGUCGUGGGUUCAAUCCCCACCCCUGGCA